UAUUGUUGUUUGACUUUCCAUUUACCCAACAUCAUUGUUCCUAGUUUGGCAUCGAAAUUUAUUCCCAAUUAAAUAUUUGAUUUGAUUGGCAACAUAAAGUUUAUCCCUAUGAACCGAUUCAUUCCCUAGGUUAAAAAUUGAGAAGAAAAAAAAAAGAGGGUUCACUGCACAUUUGCAGCAACUGGAGGCGGCGAAGGCUGAGAUUCUUGGAUAUCGUCGAUUUUUCGGUCAGUUUCACCUCGCAUUUACAGUAAUUGAACUUAGCAAUGACGCGAACUAAACCUAAUCGACCGGCUAGUGUCCAGGGGAAGGGCGAAUAUGUUGCAAACUGCUAUCCAGUCGAUCAAAUUUAAUUGAAGGUUUGGUUAAUGAAUUAAAUUUAUAUAAGUCUAUGGGUAUUAUGACGAUGAGAGUUAUGUUGUAAUAGUAUGUAUAUAUGAAAUGUGUUUCGCAGUACGUACGAAGCUUCAGAAUGAUCCAACUUUAAUAGGAUUUUUGCGAUUGAUGGUUAAUGGUGAGAAACUGAAGAGGAAGAACAUGGAGACAUCUACCGCAGGCCUCGCUGAAAAUUCGGCAAUCCCUACAGUUGGUUUAGGAUCUCCGGUAGCUCCUGCGAAGAAGACAAGCUAGGCAUGACAAAUUAUAAUGGAGCAACUGUUAGAUCAUAUGUGAUAAAUACACUGUGAUCAUACAAAUUGGACGAAUAAUUAUGUAUUACUGCAUGAAUCGCUAUGCAACUGUGAUGAAUAAAAAGUAUGUUACAAUAGUAGCAACGAAACAGUGAAUUGUCCAUCGUAAAUUAUGAACAUGUUCAUACGAAUUGGACGAAUAAUUAUGUAUUACUGUAUGAAUCGCUAUGCAACUGUGGAUGAAUAAAAAGUAUGUGAACUC